CUCUGAUUCUACUCAGGUGUGUUUUCAGAACUCAGGAUGUUUUUGGCUGCAGCAGGUGAGAAAUUCAACAAAAUAAAAGUUUAUUUUCUGCAAAAACUGAAAGGAUGAAUCUGCAUCCUGACAAACAGAAGGGGAACGAGGUCAGCAGCUAAUCUGAUCAGAUGACUGACUGCGAGCACAUGGACCAGCCUCCACCACCGCCACCUCCACCACCUGCCGCCGUAAUCCGGUGACGAGGCGACGUAGGGGACUUCCCCUCUGCUGCUCUGAGUAUGGCCAUCAACACCUCACUCUUUUGUUUCUGGUUCUUCUGCCACCUCAGCAGGAAGUCCAUCAUGGUCCCAUUAGGGUUCAAAGUUGAACUUUUUCUGGUCUCACGUGUCUUCCCGAGCCACGCCCAGUGGGUGGAGGCGCCCUGAGUCCAGCACCGUCC